CGGUCUGGCGGCGAGUGGCGAACGGGUGAGUAAUGUAUCGGAACGUGCCUAGUAGCGGGGGAUAACUACUCGAAAGAGUAGCUAAUACCGCAUACGCCCUACGGGGGAAAGGGGGGGAUCGCAAGACCUCUCACUAUUAGAGCGGCCGAUAUCGGAUUAGCUAGUUGGUGAGGUAAAGGCUCACCAAGGCGACGAUCCGCAGCUGGUUUGAGAGGACGACCAGCCACACUGGGACUGAGACACGGCCCAGACUCCUACGGGAGGCAGCAGUGGGGAAUUUUGGACAAUGGGGGAAACCCUGAUCCAGCCAUUCCGCGUGUGCGAUGAAGGCCUUCGGGUUGUAAAGCACUUUUGGCAGGAAAGAAAUCGCACCAAUUAAUACUUGGUGUGGAUGACGGUACCUGCAGAAUAAGCACCGGCUAACUACGUGCCAGCAGCCGCGGUAAUACGUAGGGUGCAAGCGUUAAUCGGAAUUACUGGGCGUAAAGCGUGCGCAGGCGGUUUGGAAAGAGAGGUGUGAAAUCCCAGGGCUCAACCUUGGAACUGCACUUUUAACUACCGAGCUAGAGUAUGUCAGAGGGGGGUGGAAUUCCGCGUGUAGCAGUGAAAUGCGUAGAUAUGCGGAGGAACACCGAUGGCGAAGGCAGCCCCCUGGGAUAA
rnacentral:rRNA from 1 species